rnacentral:tRNA from 1 species
GGAACGUUAGCUCAGUUGGUUAGAGUAUUACCUUGACAUGGUAGGGGUCACUGGUUCGAAUCCAGUACGUUCCACUA